rnacentral:tRNA from 1 species
GGGGCUGUAGCUCACUCAGUAGCAGAGUGCUUGCCUAGCAUGCAGGAGGCACUGGGUUCGAUCCUCAGCAGCACAU